rnacentral:rRNA from 1 species
GAUGAACGCUAGCGGCAGGCUUAAUACAUGCAAGUCAAGGGGGUAGCAAUACAACCGGCGCACGGGUGAGUAACGCGUACACAACAUACCAUAUACUGGAGUAUAGCUUUGGGAAACUGAAGGUAAUCCUCCAUAACAUUGCGAGAGGGCAUCUGAUUGCAAUUAAAGUUUCGACGGUAUAUGAUUGGUGUGCGUUUGAUUAGCUAGUUGGUAGGGUAACGGCCUACCAAGGCGACGAUCAAUAGCUGGCGUGAGAGCGCGACCAGCCACACUGGAACUGAGACACGGUCCAGACUCCUACGGGAGGCAGCAGUAGGGAAUAUUGGACAAUGGAGGAAACUCUGAUCCAGCCAUGCCGCGUGAUAGAUGAAGGCCCUCUGGGUUGUAAAUAUCUUUUAUCUGGGAAGAAACACUCCUAUUCUUAGGAACUUGACGGUACCAGAGGAAUAAGCACCGGCUAACUCCGUGCCAGCAGCCGCGGU